rnacentral:sRNA from 1 species
CUUGGUCAUUUAGAGGAAGUAAAAGUCGUAACAAGGUCUCCGUUGGUGAACCAGCGGAGGGAUCAUUACUGAGUACUACACUCUCUACCCUUUGUGAACUAUUAUACCUGUUGCUUCGGCGGCGCCCGCAAGGGUGCCCGCCGGUCUCAUCAGAAUCUCUGUUUUCGAACCCGACGAUACUUCUGAGUGUUCUUAGCGAACUGUCAAAACUUUUAACAACGGAUCUCUUGGCUCCAGCAUCGAUGAAGAACGCAGCGAAACGCGAUAUGUAAUGUGAAUUGCAGAAUUCAGUGAAUCAUCGAAUCUUUGAACGCACAUGGCGCCUUCCAGUAUCCUGGGAGGCAUGCCUGUCCGAGCGUCGUUUCAACCCUCGAGCCCCUGUGGCCCGGCGUUGGGGAUCUGCCACGGCAGGCCCCUAAAACCAGUGGCGGACCCGAAGGGCCCUCUCCUUUGCGCAGUAGCAUUCGCCUCGCAUUGGGAGUCCUCGGCGUCCUGCCUCUAAACCCCCCACAAGUCCGCUUCGGCGGCACCAAGGUUGACCUCGGAUCAGGUAGGAAUACCCGCUGAACUUAAGCAUAUCAAUAAGCGGAGGAAAAGAAACCAACAGGGAUUGCCUCAGUAACGGCGAGUGAAGCGGCAACAGCUCAAAUUUGAAAUCUGGCUCCUUCGGGGUCCGAGUUGUAAUUUGCAGAGGAUGCGUCGGGUACGGGUCCCUACCGAGUUCCCUGGAACGGGACGCCAUAGAGGGUGAGAGCCCCGUCUGGUAGGAUACCCAGCCCAUGUGACGCUCCCUCGACGAGUCGAGUUGUUUGGGAAU